CUCUAAAAACAAUCUAUAUCAUACUUAUCACAUAGACAAAAACCACAUGUAAACUGUGGAAUGCUCACUUUCUAGGUGAUCUACCCACAAGAGAAAAAGUCUUUGUCCUUGAAUCCGCUGGGGGAAUCAAAACAAGACAUCCAGAAAUGUUUGCAAAUCACAAGGGCAUUUAUGAGGAAGAAGGGGUGCAAUCUCUCACGUUGGACAUGUGACCCAGUCAAGCAUCCAAAACAACAAGAUAGUUCAUCAUGUGGUGUAUUUUCACUGAAGGUUUCAGACAUAUUGUCACACAGUGUAUGACUUUAGGAUUUUGAUAUAUAUUUUGAGACAUGUACAGUGAAUUACUUUCUUUGUUACUUAAAUUUAAAGCCAUUAAAUGAAGCUGUUCAUUUCAGUUUGCAGAAAAAAUCCUAUCAAAAGAGGUUGUGGAUUUUCCUGUUUCCAGAGAGGCGGACUACACCAUGAGACUUAUCCUUAACAUUAAUAUCCUUAUUUUCAGUGUUUAUGACAAUUGUUAUCAUGAUUACUAUUACUAUCAAUUCAUUAUUUAAUUCAUGAUUUAUCAUGAACAUCAAAUAUAUUUUCAUUGGAUCAGGUUGAUUUAGUCCUUUUAAUAAACAUAAUUCUAAUUUGAAAGCCAUUUCUAAUUCUUAGGAGUGUCUCUGAUAGUUUUGAAUUUCUUCAAAUAGCAUCAUUGUUGGAUUUUAAUUUUCUCUUCAGACUGAC